GCUCACUUUGGUGGCACAUGUGCUAAAAUUGGAAUGACAAAGAGAAGAUUAACAUGGCCCCUAUGCAAGGAUGACACAAAUUUGUGAAGUAUUCUAUAUUUUU